UACGUAGGGUGCGAGCGUUGUCCGGAAUUAUUGGGCGUAAAGGGCUCGUAGGCGGUUUGUCGCGUCGGGAGUGAAAACCCAGGGCUUAACCCUGGGCUGGCUUCCGAUACGGGCAGACUAGAGGUAUGCAGGGGAGAACGGAAUUCCUGGUGUAGCGGUGAAAUGCGCAGAUAUCAGGAGGAACACCGGUGGCGAAGGCGGUUCUCUGGGCAUUACCUGACGCUGAGGAGCAAAAGUGUGGGGAGCGAACAGG
rnacentral:rRNA from 1 species